rnacentral:rRNA from 1 species
CAGUAGCCACGGUAAAACGAACCGUGCGAACGUUAUUCGGAAUCACUGGGCGUAAAGCGCGCGUAGGCGGUUUUUUAAGUCUGAUGUGAAAGCCCACGGCUCAACCGUGGAGGGUCAUUGGAAACUGGAAAACUUGAGUGCAGAAGAGGAGAGUGGAAUUCCACGUGUAGCGGUGAAAUGCGUAGAGAUGUGGAGGAACACCAGUGGCGAAGGCGACUCUCUGGUCUGUAACUGACGCUGAGGAGCGAAAGCGUGGGGAGCGAACAGGAUUAGAUACCCCCGUAGUCCCUGUCUCUUAUAA